rnacentral:lncRNA from 1 species
AUUAUCCGGAGCCAAGGUCCGCUCGGUAUCUUAAAUAGUGAAGAUGGAGAAAUAGUCAAUAAUGAAGAGCAUGAAUAUGCAUCCAAAAAAAGGAAAAAGGACCAUUUUAGAAAUGACACAAAUACUCAAAGUUUUUAUCAUGAAAAAUGGAUCUAUGUCCAUAAAGAAAGCACAAAAGAAAGGCAUGGCUAUUGCACCUUGGGAGAAGAGGAUUUAGGCAGAGGGAUAUCAGCUGCAUGGAGAUCCAUUUAUGACCCAAGAGGUAAAGACAAGAAAAUGGGGCCCAGAGAGAUGGGCUGAAGGUCACAAUGGAAUCAAGGACAGAGACCAAAAACGUAGCUGUCCUGACAGCCGUGAAGAGCUUCUUCAUUACGACUUUAUUUCCUAAGUCUAUAAACUUUGAUUUUCCUCUGAUGUAAAUUAAGUGACUUUCUUAAAUGCAUCAUAUGACUUUUUAAAAAAUUUUUUAAAUUAUACUUUUAAGUUCUGGUAUACAUAUGCUCAAUGUGCAGGUUUGUUACAUAGGUAUACACAUGCCAUGGUGGUUUGCUGCACCCAUCAACCCGUCAUCUACAUUAGGUAUUUCUCCUAAUGCUAUCCGUCCCCUAGCCCCCCACCCCCCGACAGGCCCUGGUGUGUGAUGUUCCCCUCCCUGUGCCCAUGUGUUCUCAUUGUUCGGCUCCCACUUAUGAAUAAGAACAUGUGGUGUUUGGUUUUCUGUUCUCGUGUUAGUUUGCUGAGAAUAAUGGUUUCCAGCUUCAUCCACGUCCUUGCAAAGGACAUGAACUCAUCCUUUUUUAUGACUGCAUAGUAUUCCAUGGUGUAUAUGUGCCACAUUUUCUUUAUCCAGUCUAUCACUGAUGGGCAUUUGGGUUGGUUCCAAGUCUUUGCUAUUGUGAACAGUGCUGCAAUAAACAUACGUGUGCGUGUGUCUUU